rnacentral:rRNA from 1 species
GAAACAGUUGCUAAGACUGGAUAGGAAAUAAAAAGGCAUCUUUUUAUUUUUAAAAGACCUUUUUCGGAAGGUAUGCUUAAAGAGGGGCUUGCGUCACAUUAGUUAGUUGGCAGGGUAAAGGCCUACCAAGACUAUGAUGUGUAGCUGGACUGAGAGGUUGAACAGCCACAUUGGGACUGAGACACGGCCCAAACUCCUACGGGAGGCAGCAGUAGGGAAUUUUCGGCAAUGGAGGAAACUCUGACCGAGCAACGCCGCGUGAACGAUGAAGUAUUUCGGUAUGUAAAGUUCUUUUAUUGAAGAAGAAAAAAUAGUGGAAAAACUAUCUUGACGAUAUUCAAUGAAUAAGCCCCGGCAAACUAUGUGCCAGCAGCCGCGGUAAUACAUAGGGGGCGAGCGUUAUCCGGAAUUAUUGGGCGUAAAGGGUGCGUAGGCGGUUUAAUAAGUCUAUAGUUUAAUUUCAGUGCUUAACACUGUCCUGCUAUAGAAACUAUUAGACUAGAGUGAGAUAGAGGCAAGUGGAAUUCCAUGUGUAGCGGUAAAAUGCGUAAAUAUAUGGAGGAACACCAGAGGCGUAGGCGGCUUGCUGGGUCUUUACUGACGCUGAGGCACGAAAGCGUGGGGAGCAAACAGGAUUAGAUACCCUGGUAGUCCACGCCGUAAACGAUGAGUACUAAGUGUCGGGAUUACUCGGUACUGAAGUUAACACAUUAAGUACUCCGCCUGAGUAGUACGUACGCAAGUAUGAAACUUAAAGGAAUUGACGGGACUCCGCACAAGCGGUGGAUCAUGUUGUUUAAUUCGAAGAUACACGAAAAACCUUACCAGGUCUUGACAUACUCUGCAAAGCUAUAGCAAUAUAGUGGAGGUUAUCAGGGAUACAGGUGGUGCAUGGUUGUCGUCAGCUCGUGUCGUGAGAUGUUAGGUUAAGUCCUAAAACGAGCGCAACCCUUGUCAUUAGUUGCCAGCAUGUCAUGAUGGGCACUUUAAUGAGACUGCCAAUGAAAAAUUGGAGGAAGGUGAGGAUCACGUCAAAUCAUCAUGCCCCUUAUGAUCUGGGCUACAAACGUGAUACAAUGGCUGUUACAAAGAGUAGCUGAAACGCAAGUUUAUAGCCAAUCUCAUAAAAGCAGUCUCAGUUCGGAUUGAAGUCUGCAACUCGACUUCAUGAAGUUGGAAUCGCUAGUAAUCGCGAAUCAGCAUGUCGCGGUGAAUACGUUCUCGGGGUUUGUACACACCG